rnacentral:rRNA from 1 species
AUGAACGCUAGCGGCAGGCCUAAUACAUGCAAGUCGAACGAGAUUAAGGGGCUUGCUCCUUAUGAAAGUGGCGCACGGGUGCGUAACGCGUAUGCAACCUACCUCAAUCAGGGGGAUAGCCCGAAGAAAUUCGGAUUAACACCGCAUAAAAACACAGGAUAGCAUUAUCUAAUGUUCAAAUAUUUAUAGGAUUGAGAUGGGCAUGCGUGUCAUUAGCUAGUUGGCGGGGUAACGGCCCACCAAGGCGACGAUGACUAGGGGAUCUGAGAGGAUGACCCCCCACACUGGUACUGAGACACGGACCAGACUCCUACGGGAGGCAGCAGUAAGGAAUAUUGGUCAAUGGAGGCAACUCUGAACCAGCCAUGCCGCGUGCAGGAAGACAGCCCUCUGGGUCGUAAACUGCUUUUAUUCGGGAAUAAACCUAUUUACGUGUAAAUAGCUGAAUGUACCGAAGGAAUAAGGAUCGGCUAACUCCGU